rnacentral:tRNA from 1 species
GGAGUUGUGCCUGAACCAAAGGGUCACUUUGAUAGAGCGAACAAUGGAGGUUAAAGUCCUCCCAACUCUU